rnacentral:rRNA from 1 species
GAUGAACGCUGGCGGCGUGCCUAAUACAUGCAAGUCGAGCGAACAGACGAGGAGCUUGCUCCUCUGAUGUUAGCGGCGGACGGGUGAGUAACACGUGGAUAACCUACCUAUAAGACUGGGAUAACUUCGGGAAACCGGAGCUAAUACCGGAUAACAUGUUGAACCGCAUGGUUCAACAGUGAAAGACGGUCUUGCUGUCACUUAUAGAUGGAUCCGCGCUGCAUUAGCUAGUUGGUAAGGUAACGGCUUACCAAGGCAACGAUGCGUAGCCGACCUGAGAGGGUGAUCGGCCACACUGGAACUGAGACACGGUCCAGACUCCUACGGGAGGCAGCAGUAGGGAAUCUUCCGCAAUGGGCGAAAGCCUGACGGAGCAACGCCGCGUGAGUGAAGAAGGUCUUCGGAUCGUAAAACUCUGUUAUUAGGGAAGAACAAAUGUGUAAGUAACUAUGCACGUCUUGACGGUACCUAAUCAGAAAGCCACGGCUAACUACGUG